rnacentral:lncRNA from 1 species
UUGGGCAUCACCCGACGGCGUCGCCUGGAUGAAGCUGAGGAAGCCUGUGACUGCAGUCGGGAGGCAUCUCGAGCUAAUGAAGAUGUUUUCCCCUCUAUCUGCCGUUAUCUGGGCGCCUGGAAGAGCUGCGGAGGAGCUCUCAUCCUGCUCCAGGCAGAGCUGAUGGGAUUUGCACCGGUCCCAGUUGCCAUGGAGAAAGUGUUAGAUGGCUUUAAUACAUCUCUGCGAAUUUCUCCCCGGAGUUUUCCUGUGACAAGCUGGACUGGAGGCGAUGAAAACAUGAAUGAUUCAUAAAAACAAAGGGGAAAAAAACCAUAAUUUCCAGCUUGGGAUGCCAAGAAGCCAGUCAUCCACCCGCCUGGCGAGCACACGCUCUCGUUUGGGGUUACUUCCCCCUGGAUUCCUCACUCUGCUCUGCCUUAACAUAUAAGAUUAUUGGACACAGACCGUGAUGGAAUCAAGGAAACCUGGGCUGGAUGUUUUCAGCAGGAGAGGAGGCGGCAGGAAAAUUAGGAGGAGCUGAGAGAGCAGUGGUGGCUGCAGAACCCACAGCGGCUUCUGGAGACCGGAGCAACAAGCCCUGGGCCAGCGUUUUGGUGAAAUCCCCUGCAAAUCCAGCCGUUCCUCUGGAGGCUGCCCGGGCGCCGGGUUGGGAGGAGGAUUCCGUGGAGUGCUGCGGAGAGGCUGCACGGCAAAACGUGUGCUCCAGCUGA